rnacentral:tRNA from 1 species
UGCAGCAGUGGCCGAGUGGUCGAAGGCGUCAGUUUCGAAAGCUGAAGAGCCGAAAGGCUCCGGGGGUUCGAAUCCCUUCUGCUGCGU